CAGCUCUUCAAGUGGUCGGGAUGAUUAUUGGGCUUAAAGUGUCCGUAGCCGGUUUAGUAAGUUCUUGGUCAAAUCGGAUAGCUUAACUAUUCGUUCGCUAGGAAUACUACUUUACUAGGGGGCGGGAGAGGUCUGAGGUACUCCAGGGGUAGCGGUGAAAUGCGAUAAUCCUUGGGGGACCACCAGUGGCGAAGGCGUCAGACUGGAACGCGCCUGACGGUGAGGGACGAAAGCCAGGGGAGCGAACCGGAUUAGAUACCCGAGUAGUCC
rnacentral:rRNA from 1 species